rnacentral:snRNA from 1 species
GUUCAUUCCUGAACAUAUACUAAAAUUGGAACAAUACAUAGAAGAUUAGCAUGGCCCCUGCGCAAGGAUGACACGCUAAUCAAAUCAAAACAAAUCCAGAUUAU